UAGAUUGGAAAGAUUAUAUCACGAAUCUUCAUAUUCCAGCUCUAAGGGAAGGGGAAUGGAUACUUAGUGACUUGAACACGAGGGAAUCUUCAUUAUAUCUCUGUAAUCUAUCACUAGAGAGAUAAAUAAAGAGUUUAACCUUGUUAAAACCUUCUUCACACAUGAUAUUACUCAAUUGUUUUAUUUAUUCCACAUUGUUUUGAGUUAUCAAUCUAAACAGUACUUAAUUUAGAACCAUGGUUCUUUCACAAUGAAGCUUAGAAAUAGGCUUCGUGCUUCUCCAAUGACAACUGAUUUUGAGGAGCUUAUUGAAGAGUUUGAGAAACUUGAAUUAGAAAUUGCACCAACCGGAGAAGAUGAUGAUGAGUCUGGUGUGGAUUCAGAUUAAGCAUGGUGGUUGUUUAUUUUUUUUUUGUUUUAAAGUGACUGUUUUGAUUUAAAGUGUGUUUAUUUUUGUUGUUUUGCUAGACAUUUUUAGUUGUCUUUGUUUUAUGUUUAAUUAAGUUGAAUUUGUAUUGAAUUUGGAUGUGAUAUACUCUUGUUAUUCUAGUUUAUUGAAGGUUUUAAACUUCA